UACGAAGGGGGCUAGCGUUGCUCGGAAUCACUGGGCGUAAAGCGCACGUAGGCGGAUUGCUAAGUCAGGGGUGAAAUCCUGGAGCUCAACUCCAGAACUGCCUUUGAUACUGGCGACCUUGAGUCCGGGAGAGGUGAGUGGAUCUGCGAGUGUAGAGGUGAAAUUCGUAGAUAUUCGCAAGAACACCAGUGGCGAAGGCGGCUCACUGGCCCGGUACUGACGCUGAGGUGCGAAAGCGUGGGGAGCAAACAGG
rnacentral:rRNA from 1 species